AUAACCUUUACUCCUGGUCAUGUCUCCAUGGAGUAGCUGUGGGGCUACCUAAAGUUAGUCUGUGGCUUUGUAUUUUCAUAUCUUUUUUUUUACAUGGAUAAAUAUAAAAUUUAUGCUGUGUAUACAAACAAACUUUUUUUUUUUAAAAGGAAUUUCAUCUUUGGCCUAAAGUUAUCCUGAAGCAAACAAUGUCUUUUUAUUUUUGAUAUGCAAGGUAAUGUGUUGGGGAAUAACUCAACUUUUAAACGUCUAGUUAUAAUUAAAGAUAAAAACGAUGAUACGAUUCAGUGCUGGCACACGACUUUUAAAAUUUUUCAUUUUCCUCCACGUUUAAUGUAAAUGAUCAUUUUAUUCCCAAAGAACACUUCCCAUAAAUCCUAAUAUUAACACAGCAAAUAGCUCAGGGUUGGCGCUACAUGCCUUUGUGGCUAGGUCAUUUGCUUAAAAGCCUGUUGUAAAGAAUUUGUAGAAAAAUAAUGCAAUUUUGAAGAAUGGGCUUUUUUUUUUUUUUUAACAAUUUGCCAUUUAAUUGAGUUAACUAGCUGAGUUGAAUGAAGCAUUCUUAAACCUGUAUGUAACAUUUGAGUGUUAAUUAUAUGUAAAAAGUAACAACUACAUAGUAAAGGAGCAAGCCAUACAGUUACUAAGAUGCACGGACAGCGUCAGUCCUUAGGGAUAACAGGGACAUUACGCUUAUUUCUGUCUUUACAUGCUCAUUCUGCUUCUCUAUCUAUCUAUUUGUUUAAUUUUUUUAAAGAUGAGAGAUUAUGCAUAGCAUUGUACCAACUAACCUUCCAUUUUAAUAAUAAACAAUAAAAGAUUCUUAUU
rnacentral:lncRNA from 1 species